rnacentral:rRNA from 1 species
GAGGUAAAACUCCAUGGAGGGCCGAACCGACCUCCGUUGAAAAGGCGGCGGAUGAGAUGUGGCUAGCGGAGAAAUCCAAUCGAACCCGGAUAUAGCUGGUUCUCCCCGAAAUAGCUUUAGGGCUAGCGUUGUAUUAGAUUACCGGAGGUAAAGCACUGAAUGGGCUAGGGGCUGAGAAGUUACUGAACCCUAUCAAACUAAGAAUGCCGGAUAAUUGAUGUACAGCAGUCAGACUAUGUGAGAUAAGUCUCAUAGUCAAAAGGGAAACAGCCCAGACCCACAGCUAAGGUCCCAAAAUGGAUUUAAGUGGAAAAGGAUGUGGAAUUGCACAGACAACCAGGAUGUUGGCUUAGAAGCAGCCACUCAUUAAAAGAGUGCGUAAUAGCUCACUGGUCGAGUGACUCUGCGCCGAAAAUUCAACGGGGCUAAAAUUCAUACCGAAGCUUGGGCUUGACAGUAAUGUCAGGGGUAGGGGAGCGUCGUAUACGAGGUGAAGUCAUAGCGGAAGCGGUGGUGGAUUGUAUACGAGUGAGAAUGCCGGAAUGAGUAGCGAGAAUUAUGUGAGAAUCAUAAUGGCCGAAAGUCUAAGGUUUCCUGAGGAAGGUUCGUCCUCUCAGGGUUAGCCGGGAGCUAAGGUGAGGCGGAAACGCGUAGCCGAUGCACAUACGGUAGAAAUUCCGUAGCCUCCGAAGAUUUAAGCACAGGGACACUUUUGAAGGGCUGAGCCGGGCGUUGGUUGCCCCGGUCGAAAGGGACACGAUUGAGUGGAAGUCAGUUUGGAAAGAGGCGAGAAAAGCUGUGUGUAUAUGGAAGGAGCCCGUACCGCAAACCGACACAGGUAGACAGGAAGAAGAUUCUAAGGCCAGCGGGAGAAGGGUUGUUAAGGAACUCGGCAAGUUGACCCCGUAACUUCGGGAGAAGGGGUGCUUACGAAGGUAAGCCGCAGAGAAUAGGCCCAAGCGACUGUUUAGCAAAAACACAGCUCUAUGCUAAAUCGAAAGAUGACGUAUAUGGGGUGACACCUGCCCGGUGCUGGAAGGUUAAGAGGAGAUGUGAGAGCAUUGAAUUGAAGCCCCAGUAAACGGCGGCCGUAACUAUAACGGUCCUAAGGUAGCGAAAUUCCUUGUCAGGUAAGUUCUGACCCGCACGAAUGGUGUAACGAUUUGGGCACUGUCUCAACAACCCACCCGGCGAAAUUGUAGUACCGGUGAAGAUGCCGGUUACCCGCGACUAGACGGAAAGACCCCAUGGAGCUUCACUGCAGCUUAAUAUUGGAUUUCGGUAUUUCAUGUACAGGAUAGGUGGGAGACUGGGAAAUACAGGCGUCAGCUUGUAUGGAGUCAUUGUUGGGAUACCACUCUUGAGGUGCUGGAAUUCUAACCUGUGGCCUUGAAUCAGGUCAGGGGACAUUGUUAGGCGGGCAGUUUGACUGGGGCGGUCGCCUCCUAAAAGGUAACGGAGGCGCUCAAAGGUUCGCUCAGCAUGGACGGAAACCAUGCCAGAGAGUGCAAACGCAUAAGCGAGCCUAACUGCGAGACUGACGGGUCGAGCAGUAACGAAAGUUGGAGUUAGUUAAUCCGGCGGUAUAUGUGAGUGGAAUGCCGUCGCUCA